rnacentral:rRNA from 1 species
GACGAACGCUGGCGGCGUGCUUAACACAUGCAAGUCGAACGGGCCCGCCCCUGUUUUUGGGGGUGGGUUGAGUGGCGAACGGGUGAGUAUCACGUGAGUAACCUGCCCCCUGCUCCUGGAUAACUGCUUGAAAGGGCGGCUAAUACGGGGUGUGCCGGCUGGUCCGCAUGGGCCUGGUCGGGAUAGUUUCAUCUUCGGGUGUUUCGGUGGGGGAUGGGCUCGCGGCCUAUCAGCUUGUUGGGGGGGUGAUGGCCCACCAAGGCGGUGACGGGUAGCCGGCCUGAGAGGGUGGGCGGUCCCACUGGGACUGAGACACGGCCCAGACUCCUGCGGGAGGCAGCAGUGGGGGGUAUUGCACAAUGGGCGGAAGCCUGAUGCAGCGACGUCGCGUGAGGGAUGGAGGCCUUCGGGUUGUGAACCUCUUUCUCCGGUGGUGAAGGCCCUGUCCGUUGCGGCGGGGUUGACGGUAGCCGGGUAUGAAGCGCCGGCUAACUACGUG